rnacentral:rRNA from 1 species
UACGAAGGGGGCUAUCGGUGUUAGGAAUUACUGGGCGUAAAGCGCGCGUAGUCGGCUUUGCAAGCCAGGGGUGAAAUGCCAGAGCUCAACAUGGGAAUUGCCUUUGGGACUGCGAAGCUUUGAGGACGGGAGAGGUGAGUGGAAUUCCCAGUGUAGAGGUGAAAUUCGUAGAUAUUGGGAAGAACACCGGUGGCGAAGGCGGCUCACUGGCCCGUUUAUGACGCUGAAGCGCGAAAGCGUGGGGAUCAAACAGG